rnacentral:rRNA from 1 species
AACGAACGCUGGCGGCAGGCCUAACACAUGCAAGUCGAACGCCCUAGCAAUAGGGAGUGGCAGACGGGUGAGUAACGCGUGGGAACGUACCCUUCGGUUCGGAGUAACUCAGGGAAACUUGAGCUAAUACCGGAUACGUGCGAGAGCAGAAAGAUUUAUCGCCGAAGGAUCGGCCCGCGUCCGAUUAGCUAGUUGGUGAGGUAAUGGCUCACCAAGGCGACGAUCGGUAGCUGGUAUGAGAGGAUGACCAGCCACACUGGGACUGAGACACGGCCCAGUAUCCGACGGGAGGCAGGAGUGGGGAAUAUUGGACAAUGGGCGCAAGCCUGAUCCAGCCAUGCCGCGUGAGUGAUGAAGGCCCUAGGGUUGUAAAGCUCUUUCGCCAGGGACGAUAAUGACGGUACCUGGAUAAGAAGCCCCGGCUAACUUCGUGCCAGCAGCCGCAGGAAUAC